UUCAUUUCUACACUCAAGGUGUCAUGAGUUACAAAACUAAUCUACCUUACUAUAGCUAAAAUAAAACUCAAUAUAGUUCAACAAUCCACAGUUAAUUACAAUACGAAGAUCUAACUAAAAGUAAUUGAACUAAGAAAAAUAAAAGCACACCAAUAUGGCCUUUAUUUCAUUCCAAAUUGAGAGCAACAUCAUGGAGGAGCUAGGAUUAAUACCUGGAUGAAGAAGAAACAAAGUAAAGAAAUAGGAGGUUAGCUUUGGCAGCAGUAGUAUGAAGAAUCAGCAGCUAAAAGAGCAGUAGUCCAUAGCUUUAAAUCAGUUAUGAACCAGAAAACCAAAAUAGACUUGGUUUAAAUUUGUUUCAACUCUCAGCUACCCAGAUGUUGUUUUAACUUCAGAAAUCAACAGUAAGGAUCAAUGGAAUAGUAUUUUAUUGAAGAAAAUCUCUUAAGUUCCUGAAAAUCUCUCUCUAGUCUAGGCUCUCAAAUUUCACGUUCUCAGAAACUCUAAAAAUCUGCAGACUCUCUAAACGUUUUUUUAGG
rnacentral:lncRNA from 1 species